rnacentral:rRNA from 1 species
GAUGAACGCUGACAGAAUGCUUAACACAUGCAAGUCCACUUGAAUUUGGGUUUUUACCUUAGGUUUGGGUGGCGGACGGGUGAGUAACGCGUAAAGAACUUGCCUCACAGCUAGGGACAACAUUUGGAAACGAAUGCUAAUACCUAAUAUUAUGAUAAUAGGGCAUCCUAUAAUUAUGAAAGCUAUAAGCGCUGUGAGAGAGCUUCGCGUCCCAUUAGCUAGUUGGAGAGGUAACGGCUCACCAAGGCGAUGAUGGGUAGCCGGCCUGAGAGGGUGAUCGGCCACAAGGGGACUGAGACACGGCCCUUACUCCUACGGGAGGCAGCAGUGGGGAAUAUUGGACAAUGGACCGAGAGUCUGAUCCAGCAAUUCUGUGUGCACGAUGAAGUUUUUCGGAAUGUAAAGUGCUUUCAGUUGGGAAGAAACAAAUGACGGUACCAACAGAAGAAGUGACGGCUAAAUACGUG